GGACAGCAUCCUAAGGUUAAAGAGGAUGAUGAGAUGAUGCUCGGAGCAGAAUCGGGUUCGGUGAGACAUCUGACCUCUUGUGAUCACCUCGUUGCUUCCUUGUCGACUGAUCUUGCUCGCAUACCAAAUCCCGAUACACCCUGCAACAGGUUAGCCAAACCCUUUAAACACGGCAAUUUAAAUAAUUCAUCUUUGCUUGAUUUCAUUUCAUUGAAAUUGGAGAAAUUCAUCAUGCAAUUAUAAUAUAGAAAAAAGUGGGGGAAAAUGGAAACUUGAUAUAUUUAUUGUCAAAUCUUGAGUCCAACUAAUGUGUGAUCAGUAUUGGUUGCCGCAUGUAAGUUAUUCAUUUUACAACACUAGCAAUGAGUAACACAAUGAAGAUGCUCGCGUAACCUGCGGAGUGAUUUGCAUGUAUGAAGGUGCCAACACCCGAGGGGAAACUGGCUAUGUUUGUGUUGCAAGGAAGUGCUUUGCAGCCGUUAUGUGAACAAGCACAUGCUUCAGCAUUACCAGGAAACAAACCAUUCUGUAGCAUUAGGCUAUAGGUAUGACCAUGAACUUUGAUCGUUGUUGUAUUUUCCCAUGUGUAUGUCUCAUUGAUUCUGUUUGAAUUGGAAGGGUAUUCUUAACUAUUAUAUAUUGUGAUUUAUAAACACCUUGUUUUUGGCUAAGCAGUGACCUGUCAGUUUGGUGUUUCGCCUGCCAUGCAUAUUUAAAUGCUCAAGCGAUUCUGCAACUGCGACCUGUUCAUGAGACGUCUUACGUUCUGAAAUUUGGUGAAACCCUCCCUUUUAAUACGGGACAGCAUCCUGAGGUUAAAGAGGACGACGAGAUGAUGCUCGGAGCAGAAUCGGGUUGGGUGAGACAUCUGACCUCUUGUGAUCACCUCGUUGCUUCCUUGUCGACUGAUCUCGCUCGCAUACCAAAUCCCGAUACACCCUGCAACAGGUAAGCCCUUUAAACACGUCAAUUUUAAUAUUUUAUUUUUGCUUGAUUUCAUUUUCAUGCAAAUUCGAGAAAUUCAUCGUAUAAUUAUAAUAUAUAAUUAUAAUAUAGAAAAAGAGGGAGGGAAAAUAUAAACUGGGUAUAUUUAUUGUCAAAUCUUG
rnacentral:lncRNA from 1 species